rnacentral:lncRNA from 1 species
CUGAAUGGAAAUUUGUAGAAUUUCUUUACAACUGCGAAAAGGCGAAUAUAAAACGGUUCCAUGACUUUAUGGAGACAUUUUCAUUUGUAAUUUCGGAGACAUUUCUUCCCAUUCUUUCCAAGAAGUGACGCAACAUCAACACUCCCAGUAAACUGGACACAGGAAUAUUUGUUCUGUUAGAAGAGCUACGCCAGAGCACCCAGACAGACCAAGUCUCA